AGGAGCAGGGGUAUCUCUUUGCUAGGAAGGUCUUUGCAACCUCCUGGCACUUCUAAUUGUUUAAAAUAUAGCAGCCACAACCUCCCUACAGAGUCAACAUCACUGAGAGUGAUUUGGGGCCUGAGACAAAGGUUGCACCGUGGGCUGAUAAAAGCUGACAAUUUCAGACACCUAAAACAGAUUUUCCUGUCUCCACUUGUCAACUCCCACACCAGCCAUUUCUUGACAACAGAAAUUUGAAAAACGAAUACCCUGUGUCUGACAUUGAUGGAAAACCAUCUGUGUUAAUGUACCUCAUCCUGACCACUCGCAGCCUGGUGCAUACUAAGUGCUCAGAACACAAGUGUUGAACAACAUAUUAAAAUAUGUAUCAUUAUUAUCCUUCCUUUAAAAAUGAGGAAACUAAGCAGAGUUUAGAUUAAUGAUAUACAGCAAAUGAUGAAUUUGGCAUUCAUAGCCAAGCAGUCAUAUUUAAGAGCCUACUCUUGGAAAAAUGUGGUGGUUAAAGAAGUUAUUAAUACAGAGGAGUGGAAUUACUGGAUCAUAUGGAAGUUCUAUUCUUAGUUUUUGAGAAUCCUCCACAUUGCCUUCCACAGUGUCCAUACCAAUCAGCAUUCCCACCAACAAGGUAGAAUGAGACUGGGAAGGCUUGAGCAUGAACUUCCACUGGGUCACCCUGAUAGUGUCACGUCACCAGUCUUUCAGCAUGCCAUCCAGAACUAGUGACAGAAUAUGCCAACUGGAGGAAGAAGGUCAGGACACCAAGAAGAGGAGAGCAAGCUCACAGCUCACUCCUGAAAUGAAUCCCACGUUUGAAUUCUCCUGGCUGCAUUUAUGUGACAUUGUAUAUUUUUGCCACUUAUAGGCAUUUGCACUUAAAAAGGAUGUUCUGGGAUGCUUCGGUGACUUCUAGUAGAAAAAUGCAAAUAAAUGUAGAUUUCUGUUAUUAUCAGCUUCAUCAAAGCAAACAGGCAGAAGCAGGAACAUUAUUGGAGUUUGAUAAGUGGUAUAUUUGAAUGAUUUCCCCAGAGGACUGGGGAAAGCACAUCUUGUUCCAUUUCCUGUUACAGUUGAGCCUCAGUUGCUUCAUGCAGAGUUACCUGCAUAUACCACUCUCAAACCUCCACCCUCACUUUUUUUUUUUUUUUAGGGUGAGAGCUGCUCUUUUGUUUUCUGAAAUGCAAUUGCAAUAAAUGGUAGACUUGAAUCAAGACUCUUAGGUAGAAGCAAGUGAGAAAAUGCAUGAAUAACAUAACAGAGCAUUGGAAGAAUCAUUUCAGAAGGCAAUGUUUAUAUCAUAGAAAAAAGAGAACUUAUAGUCUAGUUCUCCAAUUAGAACCAAGUGAAAAUAAGGACUUCUAGGGACCUCUUGUUGGAUUUCCAGUCUAGACCAUAUCAUUUAUCUUUGGAUAUAGUUUGGAAUAUCUUCUGACAUUGUCACCUGAAUAAAUCCAAAUUUCCUGGAAGACAGAGGUCUUGUGUUUAGUUAUGUAUAAUACUAAGCCCGGCACAUUUCUAUGCAGAUGGAAGGCUCUUAAUAAACUAAUGCUGAUUGAGUGACUGUUAAUCCACAGCAGGGUCAAAACUGGAAAUGGCCAUUUGAUAGCAAGCCAGUAUAUGUGACCAGGCGUGUUCUGAACGUCUAAUUACUCAUUCUAGAAAAAUAUAUCAUUUGCUUUGAUGAGACAAAAAAUAAAAAUCAAUUAGAUGAUUGUCUCCAAAAAUGUAUAAAAGACUGCAUCAUUCCUAAGUGCCUAUUAUUAUAGAACACAAUGCCUCAAAUGAAAUGAAAUUUCUGUAUUUUAAGACACAGUGGGAUUUCAGGAGCAAUUUCAUAACAGAUGGGAUGCUUAAGAAUGAUUCCUCUAAUUUUUCUUACGGACAGCCUUCACUUGGUGUUGGAUUGGACUCAUCAAAAGAUCACUGGACAGGAAGCAGGAGCCUUGAAUUCUGAUUUUAACUCUGUAUGUAGUUCACUUGCUGGGUUAAGUCUUCGAUUUUUAGCAGAGAGGGGAAAUGCUCUCGGGGGGCUGAGUUUAUUCCCUAAGGCAAGUUCUCCAGAUUUCAUUUGCAUCAGAGUCACCUGGAGGGUUGGUUAAAACUGAUUGCUGGGCUUCACGUCCAGAUUUUCUGAUUUAGUCGAUCUGGAGUUGGGGGAGGAAUUUACAUUGCUAAUGAGUUCCCUGGUGAAGCUGCAAAUGCUGACCCUGUGGUCUCAGUUUGAGAACCGCUGCCUUAGGCGAAAAGACCAGAUAGGACCCUGCUAGUCUCCAAGGUUUUUCUCUGCUACCUCCUCUGUUUCUAAGCAUUCGUGUUUCUUGCCGGCUGGCUCCAUCUGCACAGCUGGGCUCUCUCCGAGGGCCUCUUUCCUGCAGGAGCCCCCGGUGAUAACAACAAUCACAGCAAGCCUCGCUUCUUCCUUGCAUUCUUUCUAAUGACGCCUCAAGCCUCAGGAGCCACCUUACACGGCUCUGCACAGCUCCCCCCAAUCAUGGCGCAAAGUAAACUGUCAGACCUCGCAAACAAAGACAGAGUGCAGGGCCAACCCGCCGCUGAGCCUUUGCCUCUGGCGCUUCCUCUCUCCACCGCCGUUGGAAGGCUCUUUGCUCGCCUGGGAGGUGCUGGCAUCAGAAGGAAUCUGAUUUGCAAGAAGAAGGCUCUGGAUCUUGUACCACAUCCAGAAAGGGACCAUUAGGAAGAUGGGAAAGAGAAGGUGCUUGAAAAUUCCAAAGACUUCCAAUGAAACUGGAGGAUGCAUUCAGGACAUAAAGAUGUACUGGCAGUGAUCAGAGGACAUGUGGGGAGCAGUUUCUCCAGGAAUGCCUCACAGGAAGCAAGGCCAAUUAGUGCAUUGGGCUGCAUCAGGAAAGUGUGAGCUGAAAGAGGAGUGACAUUCCGGAAAGAUUUCUUUUCAAGCUCUGUGUCUUUAGGAAGCUUCCGUGCAGUGACCUUAUACUUGGAAUUCAGCUUUCAGCUGGUAUAUCCAGCAUUAAAGGUGACAGGGAAAAUAAAAGUCUUCUUCGAAA